GGUAGGGUACCGAAGCGGCCAAACGGGGCAGACUGUAAAUCUGCUGGAAUUUCCUUCAGUGGUUCGAAUCCACUCCCUACCA
rnacentral:tRNA from 1 species